AAUUGAAUCAAUCAAGAAUACAAUCAAGCGUUUAUCGCCUUUGAUCGCUCCCGGCUCGCUUUCGUUCGGGGCGAGCCUGCGCUCUCGCUUGCUUCUUACUCGCCUACGAAAACAAUACUAGACUCGACUUCCACACCUGCGCUUCUUCACCUGCCUCUCCACUCGUGCCUACUUUCACCAACCGGUCUUCCCUUAGUCCUCCCCUACUCCAUCCUUCUGCUUGGCUCUAGCCUUGUCCGGAUCUCCACCUCUCUGAGCUCUCGCUCCAGGAGUUGCGCUAUUCGAUUGGUCGGGGGGAGGCCGACGGGUGCGUCACAUCCUUUGUGAGCGAAUCUUUUCGCCCUACGCUGAGUCGUAGUUCUAUUGCGCUGGGGCUGCUCCUUAGUCGUUGGCCUCCUUUGCUUCUUGGCUGUAGCACUUCUCUUGCGUGCGCAGGUUCCCCUAGCUCUGUUCAUGGAUCUAUUCUAAGACUAAAAAUGGAACUAUUCUUCUCGUUAUAGCUCCUAUUCCUACUUCUUCUAGCUUUUCCACCUGCUUUUAUAUCUUACAUCUAUUCUUCAAGCUCGAGCUCUUACUCAUUCAGAUAGGAUCUUACCCCCCGAGCAGGUUUUUUUACCUUUUGGAUCUUUUUCUCGGGCUUUUUUGCUCUUGAAAACAGCUACCACCCAACAUAUAAAUGGGCACUUGUGCUGUAAGACCCGGGAUAAGACAGCGAGGACAGUUCUUCGUCUUCUUCGUGAGCUGAACUGAGCCUAUCUAUUGAGGAAAAACCGCUUUCUUCGCUCUCAUCCCUUGACUCGCUAGACUGCAAAGCUGGACCUCCCUACUUACUGGAUUGCCCCUUUUUAGUUACNN
rnacentral:lncRNA from 1 species